rnacentral:rRNA from 1 species
GACGAACGCUGGCGGCGUGCCUAAUACAUGCAAGUAGAACGCAGUUGCGAACGGGUGAGUAACGCGUAGGUAACUGCCUCAUAGCGGGGGAUAACUAUUGGAAACGAUAGCUAAUACCGCAUACUGUGAGAUGGACCUGCGUUGUAUUAGCUAGUUGGUGAGGUAAAGGGUCACCAAGGCGACGAUACAUAGCCGACCUGAGAGGGUUAUCGGCCAACCUGUGAAUGAGAAACGGCCCAGAAUCCUAAGGGAGGCAGCAGGAGGGAAUCUUCUGCAAUGGACGGAAGUCUGACCGAGCAACGCCGCGUUAGGGAAGAAGGUUCUCGGAACGUAAAGAUCUGUUGUUAGAGAAGCGGUACCUAACCAGAAAGGGACGGCUAACUACGUGCCAGCAGCCGCGGUAAUUC